UACGUAGGGUCCGAGCGUUUGUCCGGAAUUAUUGGGCGUAAAGAGCUCGUAGGCGGUUUGUCGCGUCUGCUGUGAAAUCCCGAGGCUCAACCUCGGGUCUGCAGUGGGUACGGGCAGACUGGAGUGCGGUAGGGGAGAAUGGAAUUCCCGGUGUAGUGGUGGAAUGCGUAGAGAUCGGGAGGAACACCAGUGGCGAAAGCGGCUCUCUGGUCCAAAACUGACGCUGAGGGGCGAAAGCGUGGGGAGCGAAGCGGGAUUGAGAUA
rnacentral:rRNA from 1 species